CUUUGGACAAUGGUAGGAGAGCGUUCUAAGGGCGUUGAAGCAUGAUCGUAAGGACAUGUGGAGCGCUUAGAAGUGAGAAUGCCGGUGUGAGUAGCGAAAGACGGGUGAGAAUCCCGUCCACCGAUUGACUAAGGUUUCCAGAGGAAGGCUCGUCCGCUCUGGGUUAGUCGGGUCCUAAGCUGAGGCCGACAGGCGUAGGCGAUGGAUAACAGGUUGAUAUUCCUGUACCACCUAUAAUCGUUUUAAUCGAUGGGGGGACGCAGUAGGAUAGGCGAAGCGUGCGAUUGGAUUGCACGUCUAAGCAGUAAGGCUGAGUAUUAGGCAAAUCCGGUACUCGUUAAGGCUGAGCUGUGAUGGGGAGAAGACAUUGUGUCUUCGAGUCGUUGAUUUCACACUGCCGAGAAAAGCCUCUAGAUAGAAAAUAGGUGCCCGUACCGCAAACCGACACAGGUAGUCAAGAUGAGAAUUCUAAGGUGAGCGAGCGAACUCUCGUUAAGGAACUCGGCAAAAUGACCCCGUAACUUCGGGAGAAGGGGUGCUCUUUAGGGUUAACGCCCAGAAGAGCCGCAGUGAAUAGGCCCAAGCGACUGUUUAUCAAAAACACAGGUCUCUGCUAAACCGUAAGGUGAUGUAUAGGGGCUGACGCCUGCCCGGUGCUGGAAGGUUAAGAGGAGUGGUUAGCUUCUGCGAAGCUACGAAUCGAAGCCCCAGUAAACGGCGGCCGUAACUAUAACGGUCCUAAGGUAGCGAAAUUCCUUGUCGGGUAAGUUCCGACCCGCACGAAAGGCGUAACGAUUUGGGCACUGUCUCAACGAGAGACUCGGUGAAAUCAUAGUACCUGUGAAGAUGCAGGUUACCCGCGACAGGACGGAAAGACCCCGUGGAGCUUUACUGUAGCCUGAUAUUGAAAUUCGGCACAGCUUGUACAGGAUAGGUAGGAGCCUUUGAAACGUGAGCGCUAGCUUACGUGGAGGCGCUGGUGGGAUACUACCCUAGCUGUGUUGGCUUUCUAACCCGCACCACUUAUCGUGGUGGGAGACAGUGUCAGGCGGGCAGUUUGACUGGGGCGGUCGCCUCCUAAAAGGUAACGGAGGCGCUCAAAGGUUCCCUCAGAAUGGUUGGAAAUCAUUCAUAGAGUGUAAAGGCAUAAGGGAGCUUGACUGCGAGACCUACAAGUCGAGCAGGGUCGAAAGACGGACUUAGUGAUCCGGUGGUU
rnacentral:rRNA from 1 species